GGCCGUCUAGCUCAGUUGGUUAGAGCGUCGUGCUAAUACGCUUACGUAACUGUAAACGGGUGACGCGAAGGUCUUGGGUUCGACCCCCACGAUGGCCA